rnacentral:rRNA from 1 species
GAGUAUGUCUGGAACUGACUGAUGAGGGAUACUACUGAAACCGGUAAAGCCUUUAAUUACCGCAUAACGUCGCAGACAAGAGGGACUCGGCUCUGCAUCAAUGUGCAGACGGAUACUAUAGUGGUACGCUCACUAGCAAUCCUACUGUCUGAAGAUGACACCACACUGGACUGAAACACGGUCAGACUCCUACGGGAGGCAGCAGUGGGGAUAUUGCACAAUGGGCGCAAGCUGAUGCACAUGCCGCGUGUAUGAAGAAGGCCUUUUUCCGGGGGGGUUUUGGUAAAGUACUUUUCAAAGCGGGGAGGAAGGGUGUUGGUGGGUUAAUAACCACAGCAAUUGACGUUACCGCAAAAAGCACGGCUACUCCGUGCCAGCAGCCGCGGUAAUACGGAGGGUGCAAGCGUUAAUCGGAAUUACUGGGCGUAAAAGCGGCCAACCGCAGGCGGUCUGUCAAGUCGGAUGUGAAAUCCCCGGGCUCAACCUGGGAACUGAUUCGAAACUGGCAGGCUAAGUCUUGUAAGGGGGGUAAAUUCCCAGGUGUACGGUGAAAUGCGUAAAGACCUGGGAGGGAAUACGGGUGGGCGAAAAGGCGGCCCC